rnacentral:snRNA from 1 species
UCCUUUGUGGAGUGGCAGUAUCAUAGCCCAUGAGGUUAAACUAAGUUGUGAUUAUUACUAAUUGAAAACUGUUUCCAAUACCCUGCUUGCACUGACUUGACUUGAAGAACUUCA